rnacentral:rRNA from 1 species
CCUACGGGCGGCAGCAGUAGGGAAUUUUCGGCAAUGGGGGGAACCCUGACCGAGCAACGCCGCGUGAACGAAGAAGUUAUUCGUAAUGUAAAGUUCUAUCAACAGGGAAGAAAGAGAAAUUUGACGGUAACUGAAGAAUAAGCUCCGGCUAACUACGUGCCAGCAGCCGCGGUAAUACGUAGGGAGCGAGCGUUAUCCGGAAUUGUUGGGCGUAAAGGGUGUGUAGAUGGCAUAGUAAGUCUUUUGUAAAAAUGCUGGGCUCAACCCAGUAGGGCAAAAGAUACUGCAAAGCUAGAGUAUGACAGAGGCAAGUGGAACUACAUGUGUAGCGGUAAAAUACGUAAAUAUAUGUAAGAACACCAGUGGCGAAGGCGGCUUGCUAGGUCGAUACUGACAUUGAGGCACGAAAGCGUGGGGAGCAAACAGGAUUAGAUACCCCUGUAGUC